rnacentral:rRNA from 1 species
GCUUACGGCCAUACCAGCCUGGGUACACCCGAUCUCGGAAGCUAAGCCGGGUCGGGCCUGGUUAGUACUUGGAUGGGAGACCCCAUGGGAAUACCAGGUGCUGUAAGCA